rnacentral:rRNA from 1 species
AUUGAACGCUGGCGGAAUGCUUUACACAUGCAAGUCGAACGGUAGAAGGGGGCAACCCCUUGAGAGUGGCGAACGGGUGAGUAAUAUAUCGGAACGUGCCCAGUCGUGGGGAUAACGUAGCGAAAGUUACGCUAAUACCGCAUACGAUCUAAGGAUGAAAGCGGGGGAUCGCAAGACCUCGCGCGAUUGGAGCGGCCGAUAUCAGAUUAGGUAGUUGGUGAGGUAAAGGCUCACCAAGCCAACGAUCUGUAGCUGGUCUGAGAGGACGACCAGCCACACUGGAACUGAGGACACGGUCCAGACUCCUACGGGAGGCAGCGAGUGGGGGAAUUUUUGGACAAUGGACGCAAGUCUGAUCCAGCCAUUCCGCGUGCAGGAUGAAGGCCCUCGGGUUGUAAACUUGCUUUUUGUACGGAACGAAAAGGUUUCUAUUAAUACUAGGAGCUCAUGACGGUACCGUAAGAAUAAGCACCGGCUAACUACGUGCCAGCAGCCGC